GAGUAGAGCGGCGCACGGGUGCGUAACACGUGGAUAAUCUGCCCUUGAAUUCGGGAUAACCUUCCGAAAGGUUGGCUAAUACCGGGUAAGCUCACGGUGACUUCGGUCGCUGUGGGAAAAGUAGACCUCUGUUUACAAGUUUACGUUUGAGGAUGAGUCCGCGGCCCAUCAGCUAGUUGGCGGGGUAAUGGCCCACCAAGGCUACGACGGGUAGCUGGUCUGAGAGGACGAUCAGCCACACUGGAACUGAGACACGGUCCAGACUCCUACGGGAGGCAGCAGUGGGGAAUUUUCCACAAUGGGCGAAAGCCUGAUGGAGCAACGCCGCGUGUGUGAUGAAGGUCUUCGGAUCGUAAAGCACUUUCGACCGGGACGAAAAACCUCUGGCUAACAUCCAGGGGCCUGACGGUACCGGGAGAAGAAGCACCGGCUAACUCUGUGCCAGCAGCCGCGGUAAUACAGAGGGUGCAAGCGUUGUUCGGAAUUAUUGGGCGUAAAGCGCGUGUAGGCGGCUUGGCAAGUCAGAUGUGAAAGCCCAUGGCUUAACCAUGGAAGUGCGUCUGAAACUGCUGAGCUUGAGUGCCGGAGAGGAUGGCGGAAUUCCGCAAGUAGAGGUGAAAUUCGUAGAUAUGCGGAGGAACACCGGUGGCGAAGGCGGCCAUCUGGACGGCAACUGACGCUGAGACGCGAAAGCGUGGGGAGCAAACAGGAUUAGAUACCCUGGUAGUCCACGCUGUAAACGAUGAGAACUAGGUGUCGUGGGUGUUGACCCCCGCGGUGCCGUAGCUAACGCAUUAAGUUCUCCGCCUGGGAAGUACG
rnacentral:rRNA from 1 species